CCUACGGGUGGCAGCAGUGGGGAAUAUUGGACAAUGGGCGAAAGCCUGAUCCAGCCAUGCCGCGUGUGUGAAGAAGGCCUUCGGGUUGUAAAGCACUUUCAGUGGGGAAGAAAGCCUUGGGGCUAAUACCCUCGAGGAAGGACAUCACCCACAGAAGAAGCACCGGCUAACUCCGUGCCAGCAGCCGCGGUAAUACGGAGGGUGCGAGCGUUAAUCGGAAUUACUGGGCGUAAAGCGCGCGUAGGCGGUCUGAUAAGCCGGUUGUGAAAGCCCCGGGCUCAACCUGGGAACGGCAUCCGGAACUGUCAGGCUAGAGUGCAGGAGAGGAGGGUAGAAUUCCCGGUGUAGCGGUGAAAUGCGUAGAGAUCGGGAGGAAUACCAGAGGCGAAGGCGGCCUUCUGGACUGACACUGACGCUGAGGUGCGAAAGCGUGGGUAGCAAACAGGAUUAGAUACCCCAGUAGUC
rnacentral:rRNA from 1 species